rnacentral:rRNA from 1 species
GGUUAAUUCGAAGCAACGCGAAGAACCUUACCAGGUCUUGACAUCCCGAUGCUAUUCUAGAGAUAGAAAGUUACUUCGGUACAUCGGUGACAGGUGGUGGCAUGGUUGUCGUCAGCUCGUGUCGUGAGAUGUUGGGUUAAGUCCCGCAACGAGCGCAACCCCUAUUGUUAGUUGCCAUCAUUCAGUUGGGCACUCUAGCGAGACUGCCGGUAAUAAACCGGAGGAAGGUGGGGAUGACGUCAAAUCAUCAUGCCCCUUAUGACCUGGGCUACACACGUGCUACAAUGGUUGGUACAACGAGUUGCGAGUCGGUGACGGCGAGCUAAUCUCUUAAAGCCAAUCUCAGUUCGGAUUGUAGGCUGCGACUCGCCUACAUGAAGUCGGAAUCGCUAGUAAUCGCGGAUCAGCACGCCGCGGUGAAUACGUUCCCGGGCCUU